rnacentral:rRNA from 1 species
AUAUCAAUAAGCGGAGGAAAAGAAACCAACAGGGAUUGCCUCAGUAACGGCGAGUGAAGCGGCAAUAGCUCAAAUUUGAAAUCUGGCUCUUUCAGAGUCCGAAUUGUAAUUUGUAGAGGAUGCUUCGGCUUUAGCUUCAGUUAAAGUUCCUUGGAACAGGACGUCAUAGAGGGUGAGAAUCCCGUUUGUGACUGAUAGUUUUUGGCCAUGUGAAGCUCCUUCGACGAGUCGAGUUGUUUGGGAAUGCAGCUCUAAAUGGGUGGUAAAUUUCAUCUAAAGCUAAAUACCGGCCAGAGACCGAUAGCGCACAAGUA